GCUUUUCAAGACUGUUUGAUUGCAUAUAAUUAUAAAGGUUAAUUGCAUACAGAUCUCUAUAUAAAUAUAAUAAAUUAUAAAUAUAUAUUUAUAAAGCUCAUCUUUCAUAUGUUGUUUCUAUAAAAGUCCUGAUAUUUUUAGAUAUGUCUCCACCGUUAGAAAAAAUUAGUUAAUCAUAAGUGAAAUACGUAACUCUAAUUAGUUAAUGAGGUAAAUUGACUUUUUUACCCCUCUUUAAUUAAUAGUUGGAAUUUCUGGAGGGACACAUUUGUGAUGGCAAAAAAUGUCAUUUUACUUAAAAAAUUGACAGCAUUUUAAUGGUACCAAACCAGAGGGACAUAUUUGAAAAUACUAGAACUUUUAUAAGGAUAGCAUAUGAAAGUUGAACUUUGUAGGGAUAUAUUUGCAAAUCACUAUAUUUCUAGGAAUUUGUAUAAAAUUAACCCUUAUACAAUAAAUUUUAACUGUAUAUCAAUUCAGAUAUGAUAUUUUACUUAUUUUAUGAUAAACUUCAAAUACCAUCUCUAUUGUUUCGCACUUUUUUUAUUUUAGUACUCUAUAGUUUAAAGUGUAUCAAUUUAGUACCCUGUGGUUUUAUUUUUUUCUUUUCGUUAGUUCCUCCAUUAACUUUUCGUUAAUCAUACACAAAAAACUUCAGAUACCCCACCUAUAGUUUAUAUAAUAUUCACUUUAGUACCCUUUAAUUUUAACUUUGUCAAUGAUUUAACGAAAAAAAUUAGCAGAGGGAUAACAAAAGGAAAAAAAUAAAACCAUGGGAUACGAAAGUGAUACACUUUAAACCAUAGGGUACUAAAGUGAGAAAGUGCGAAACCACAUGGGCGGUAUUUGAAGUUUUUCCUUCAUUUUAUGUAUUUAAAUUUAACUA
rnacentral:lncRNA from 1 species